rnacentral:rRNA from 1 species
ACAGGAUUAGAUACCCUGGUAGUCCACGCCGUAAACGAUGUCGACUUGGAGGCUGUUCCCUUGAGGAGUGGCUUCCGGAGCUAACGCGUUAAGUCGACCGCCUGGGGAGUACGGCCGCAAGGUUAAAACUCAAAUGAAUUGACGGGGGCCCGCACAAGCGGUGGAGCAUGUGGUUUAAUUCGAUGCAACGCGAAGAACCUUACCUGGCCUUGACAUCCACGGAACUUGGCAGAGAUGCCUUGGUGCCUUCGGGAACCGUGAGACAGGUGCUGCAUGGCUGUCGUCAGCUCGUGUUGUGAAAUGUUGGGUUAAGUCCCGCAACGAGCGCAACCCUUAUCCUUUGUUGCCAGCGAUUCGGUCGGGAACUCAAAGGAGACUGCCGGUGAUAAACCGGAGGAAGGUGGGGAUGACGUCAAGUCAUCAUGGCCCUUACGGCCAGGGCUACACACGUGCUACAAUGGCGCAUACAAAGAGAAGCGACCUCGCGAGAGCAAGCGGACCUCAUAAAGUGCGUCGUAGUCCGGAUCGGAGUCUGCAACUCGACUCCGUGAAGUCGGAAUCGCUAGUAAUCGUGGAUCAGAACGCCACGGUGAAUACGUUCCCGGGCCUUGUACACACCGCCCGUCACACCAUGGGAGUGGGUUGCAAAAGAAGUAGGUAGCUUAACCUUCGGGAGGGCGCUUACCACUUUGUGAUUCAUGACUGGGGUGAAGUCGUAA